AACGAACGCUGGCGGCGUGCCUAACACAUGCAAGUCGAACGGGAUUAGGGGGCUUGCUCCUUAAUCUAGUGGCGCACGGGUGAGUAACGCGUAGAUACUCUGCCUGAUGAUCUGGAAUAACACCUCGAAAGGGGUGCUAAUACCGGAUAAGCCCACGGGUACUUUGGUGCUUGCGGGAAAAGGGGGGGACCAUUUGGCCUUCCGUCAUCAGCUGCGUCUGCGUACCAUUAGCUAGUUGGUAGGGUAAAGGCCUACCAAGGCGACGAUGGUUAGCUGGUCUGAGAGGAUGAUCAGCCACACUGGAACUGAGACACGGUCCAGACUCCUACGGGAGGCAGCAGUGGGGGAUUUUGCGCAAUGGGCGAAAGCCUGACGCAGCAACGCCGCGUGAGUGAUGAAGGCUUUCGGGUCGUAAAGCUCUGUCAGGGGGAAAGAAGUGUAAUGUAGUUAAUACCCAUGUUACUUGACGGUACCCCCAAAGGAAGCACCGGCUAACUCCGUGCCAGCAGCCGCCGUAACAC
rnacentral:rRNA from 1 species